GUUACUGAUGAGCUGCUGCUAUAUAUAAAAAGAGGGACGGAGAGAGUAACCGCACCUCCACACCUCGUCCCAACUACUGACUGAACCCCAUACCUUCUCCUUCCCAAUCUCUUUUCUCUCAACCGACCAGGGAAAGGAAAGUAGUAUAAAGAGCCCCCCACCAUUGCUGCCUUUCACUUCAUUCCAACUACUCUUUUCUGAAUAAGAGGUAAGUUCCACUGGCAUCACUUACUUCCCCUACUUGGGAAAGACUAGAUACAUACAUAUCUAUCUGAAGACACAAGCUGCAGCGGCAUGUCUCUGUUUGUUCUUCUUUGCUUGCUGCAUACUAAGUGAUCGAGCCUCGUGAGAGGACAGAGGGAGAAACACUUGAAUCAUCCCUUACGCCCCCGUUAUAAUUGGCUGCCAUAUAAGGAUGGUGGAGUCUAUGGCUGUCGUGGUGAUCAGGGGGUACGACGCGCAGCGGGACCGACCUCCUCGGCGAUCCCCUCUGCCGUGUCCGUCGCUCCCCCUCCUUCCUCAUGCUGUAAGUUUGCGUAUGCGAAGAAGCACAAUCAUAAUGUUAAUAAAAGUGGUGGAGAUGGUUAGCGGGCUGGAGAAGGAGAUCGUUGGGCUUGUCCGCGGGUGCAUCGCACCGUGGCCUGAGGCAACCCCCUUGCCUUGUUAUUACCCUCACCCUCCAAGUACCACACCGCCCCCAUCUAUGCGAAGGUGGACCUCCGCGGCUCCCCCUGUUGCCGGUGACUCUCACCACACGUUAAUCUUUCCCAUCACACUAAUCACUGUCAUUAAUACUAAUCUAAUCGAGUGACAUCCUUGGCGAAGGGGGCUCGCACUGAAGCUGGUGCAGCGGAUGGAGGAGUGGUCUAAGGAGAAGGGGGCGGGGUACGCGUACAUGACGUCGGAGAAGGACAACUAAUCGUCUUUCCGCCUCUUCACUGGGCGGUGCGGUCACUCCAAGUUCCGCACCCCCGCCAUCCCGGUGCACCCCGUGUUAGCCCCCAUCGCCUUCCCCUUCCCCCACGCAUCGCCAUCCUCCGCCUCACCCCCGCCGAUGCCCAGUCCCUGUACCGUCGCCGCUUCGCCGCCACCGAGUUCUUCCCCCGCGACAUCGACACCGUCCUCACCAACCCGCCCUCCCUGGGCACCUUCCUCGACGUCCCUCCUUCCCUCGUGAUCCCGUGAACACGCACACGUGAACGACCACGCGUGGGCCCUGUCCCGCAGUUCCCGUGAUCCCUCCCAUCCGUGAACGCCGUAACAGGGCGUGGGGGAUUGUACCUCAGGUUAAUCUAAUCGAGUGGCAUCGUUAGGUCCCGUGGGACAACGGAGAAGACAACCUCACUCGGCACCUUCCUCGCCGUCCCUCCUUCGCCAGUGAUCCCGUGAACACCCACCCGUGAACGACCACGUGGGCCCUGUCCCGCAGGUCAUCCCUCCCACCCGUGAACUCCGCAACAAGGCGUGGGGGACCCCGGCUCCCGAGCGGUGGCGGCGUGCGAGCCGCUCUCCCAAUCACUGUCUUUAAUACUUCCUCGCUGUCCCUCCUUCCCCCGUGAACACGCACCCGUUAACGCCCGCAUGUGGGCCCUGUCCCGCAGGUCGGUCCCUCCCACCCGUGAACUCCGUAACAGGGCAUGGGGGAUUGCACCUUAGGCUAAUAUAAUCUAAUCUAAUCGAGUGGCAGACGAUGGAGGCGUGAUCUACGGAGAAGAGGGCGGAGUACGCGUUCAUGGCGACGGAGAAGGACACCGUGGCAUCGACGCCGUCCUCGUCAACCCGCCCUCCCUCGGCACCUUCCGCGCGGUGGACCGGGCGCUGUCGUGGCUGUGCAUCCCCCGCUGGAGCUGCUCGCACGCCGCCACCACUCGGCAGCCGCGAUCCCCCACGACCUGUUGUGCACGUGACGGAGUUCACGGAUGGGUACGAGGGAUCACGAGACCUGCAGGGCAGGAUCACGGGGCAAGAUCACGAGACCUGCAGGGCAGGCUCACUCGUCCUACUUUCUCGUGGUGGCUGUCUCUGCUUGUAUGAGAUCUGCCGGACGCGACGUGGGCAGACAACGGAGACGACGUGGUGGCUGUCGACCAUGAGGUUCCACUUCAGAGACCACGAGGUUUCCGAUCAAUAGGACCAUUGGCGAGGCGAAUGAUACGGGACCCGUAGGACCGACGCUGAACAUUAGGGCAUCGCACGAAAGUAGCUCACGUCGUUGUCGCUAGCACUGUCACCUCACGGGUGGGCUGGCUGGCUUUUGAGAGGAAGUAGGUCGAAACAUUAUCUAUAAAACGGUACUCAUAGUACAACAACGAGUACGGUUGUGAAAUAGUAGCGUGCGAAGGAUGGUUGGUGUGAUGCUAUUUAUUUUUAUAUUAUUUAUAAUAAUUAUUUUAAUAUUUUUUAUUGGCGAAGGUUAAAAUGUUGUGCCCAAAAAUUACCGUGUUGUCCUAUAAAUCCAACGUCGGUCAAUGGCACUAUGUAGUUUAUUAUCAUCUAAUCCUCCUCGUUAACUUAGGUUAUCUUAUCUAGUGGGAUGUGUGAUUAACUUCUUAGAGUUGUACUUUAAUUUUGUAAUAUAUGGCUGUGAUUAAGCGUUUUACUCUGUAUAUUGAUACUAUGAAUGGAAUGAAACGAGGAGGUUAAAUCUGUGUUA